CCUACGGGAGGCAGCAGUGAGGAAUAUUGGUCAAUGGGCGCGAGCCUGAACCAGCCAAGUCGCGUGAGGGAAGACGGUCCUAUGGAUUGUAAACCUCUUUUGUCGGGGAGCAAAAGACGCCACGCGUGGCGUUCCGAGAGUACCCGAAGAAAAAGCAUCGGCGAACUCCGUGCCAGCAGCCGCGGUAAUACGGAGGAGGCGAGCGUUAUCCGGAUUUAUGGGGGGUAAAGGGUGCGCAGGCGGAAGAUCAAGUCACCGGUAAAACUGAGAGGCUCAACCUCUUCGAGCCGUUGAAACUGGUUUUCUUGAGUGAGCGAGAAGUAUGCGGAAUGCGUGGUGUAGCGGUGAAAUGCAUAGAUAUCACGCAGAACUCCGAUUGCGAAGGCAGCAUACCGGCGCUCAACUGACGCUCAUGCACGAAAGUGUGGGUAUCGAACAGGAUUAGAUACCCUAGUAGUC
rnacentral:rRNA from 1 species